CAAGAAGGCAGCUACCUUUUCAAGAUCCCUAGUUUUUGCUGUUGUGGUCAUGAGCAUGUACUAUAUCGCUAUAGCAUUGACAAAGGUAAAAUUUUUUAGAUUUUCAAAAUGAACAUUUAAUUUGUACACAAGUGUUUGAUAUUGCAAGUGUUCAGUUACCUUAUUAUGUGACAUUAUUGUAUGGAAUUAAUUAAUUUGUACACAAGUGUUUGAUAUUGAAGGAGAUAAAAGAGCAGGCCUCCAAACUUUGGCCGUAUGCUUGGGUCCUAAGACGGUAUUAUGGUAUAGUGUUUUACUUCUUGAAAUGGCUUAUGGAGCUGCUAUUAUAAUUGGAGCAUCCUCUCCUUUUUUUUGGAGCAAAAUUUUUGUGGUUCUUUCUCAUGCUAUCAUGGCUUCGUUCGUAUGGUAUCGCUCCACUCUUGUAGAUUUAUCCAACAAAGAUUCAUCGCAAGCUUUUUAUAUGCUUAUCUUUAAGCUCUUUUUCUGUGG